rnacentral:rRNA from 1 species
AGCGCAUACGGUGGAUGCCUUGGCAGUCAGAGGCGAUGAAAGACGUGAUAGCCUGCGAUAAGCUUCGGGGAGUCGGCAAAUAGACUGUGAUCCGGAGAUCUCUGAAUGGGGGAACCCACCUGACAUAAGUCAGGUAUCUCACACUGAAUCCAUAGGUGUGAGAGGCGAACCAGGGGAACUGAAACAUCUAAGUACCCUGAGGAAAAGAAAUCAACCGAGAUUCCCUAAGUAGUGGCGAGCGAACGGGGACUAGCCCUUAAGCUCAAUUGAUUUUAACCGAACGCUCUGGAAAGUGCGGCCAUAGUGGGUGAUAGCCCCGUAGGUGAAAGGAUCUUUUGAGUGAAAUCGAGUAGGACGGCGCACGUGAAACGUUGUCUGAAUAUGGGGGGACCAUCCUCCAAGGCUAAAUACUACUGACUGACCGAUAGUGAACCAGUACCGUGAGGGAAAGGCGAAAAGAACCCCGGAGAGGGGAGUGAAAUAGAACCUGAAACCGUAUGCGUACAAGCAGUGGGAGCCCACUUUGUUGGGUGACUGCGUACCUUUUGUAUAAUGGGUCAGCGACUUAUAUUCAGUGGCAAGCUUAACCGUAUAGGGAAGGCGUAGCGAAAGCGAGUCUUAAUAGGGCGUUUUAGUCGCUGGGUAUAGACCCGAAACCGGGCGAUCUAUCCAUGAGCAGGUUGAAGGUUAGGUAACACUGACUGGAGGACCGAACCCACUUCCGUUGAAAAGGCAGGGGAUGACUUGUGGAUCGGAGUGAAAGGCUAAUCAAGCUCGGAGAUAGCUGGUUCUCCUCGAAAGCUAUUUAGGUAGCGCCUCAUGUAUCACUCUGGGGGGUAGAGCACUGUUUCGGCUAGGGGGUCAUCCCGACUUACCAAACCGAUGCAAACUCCGAAUACCCAGAAGUGCAAGCAUGGGAGACACACGGCGGGUGCUAACGUCCGUCGUGAAAAGGGAAACAACCCAGACCGUCAGCUAAGGUCCCAAAGUUGUAGUUAAGUGGUAAACGAUGUGGGAAGGCUUAGACAGCUAGGAGGUUGGCUUAGAAGCAGCCACCCUUUAAAGAAAGCGUAAUAGCUCACUAGUCGAGUCGGCCUGCGCGGAAGAUGUAACGGGGCUCAAACUACACACCGAAGCUACGGGUUCAUCGCAAGAUGAGCGGUAGAGGAGCGUUCUGUAAGCCUGUGAAGGUGAGUUGAGAAGCUUGCUGGAGGUAUCAGAAGUGCGAAUGCUGACAUGAGUAACGACAAUGCGAGUGAAAAACUCGCACGCCGAAAGACCAAGGGUUCCUGCGCAACGUUAAUCGACGCAGGGUGAGUCGACCCCUAAGGCGAGGCUGAAAGGCGUAGUCGAUGGGAAACAGGUUAAUAUUCCUGUACUUCUAAUUACUGCGAUGGGGGGACGGAGAAGGCUAGGCCAGCUUGGCGUUGGUUGUCCAAGUUUAAAGCGGUAGGCUGACUGUUUAGGUAAAUCCGGACAGUUAAGGCCGAGAGCUGAUGACGACUCUUCUUAUGAAGAGGAAGUGGUUGAUGCCAUGCUUCCAGGAAAAGCCUCUAAGCUUCAGGUAAUUAGAAAUCGUACCCCAAACCGACACAGGUGGUCGGGUAGAGAAUACCAAGGCGCUUGAGAGAACUCGGGUGAAGGAACUAGGCAAAAUGGCACCGUAACUUCGGGAGAAGGUGCGCCGGUGAGGGUGAAGGACUUGCUCCGUAAGCUCAUGCCGGUCGAAGAUACCAGGCCGCUGCGACUGUUUAUUAAAAACACAGCACUCUGCAAACACGAAAGUGGACGUAUAGGGUGUGACGCCUGCCCGGUGCCGGAAGGUUAAUUGAUGGGGUUAGCGCAAGCGAAGCUCUUGAUCGAAGCCCCGGUAAACGGCGGCCGUAACUAUAACGGUCCUAAGGUAGCGAAAUUCCUUGUCGGGUAAGUUCCGACCUGCACGAAUGGCGUAACGAUGGCGGCGCUGUCUCCACCCGAGACUCAGUGAAAUUGAAAUCGCUGUGAAGAUGCAGUGUAUCCGCGGCUAGACGGAAAGACCCCGUGAACCUUUACUGUAGCUUUGCACUGGACUUUGAGCCUGCUUGUGUAGGAUAGGUGGGAGGCUUUGA